rnacentral:rRNA from 1 species
GACGAACGCUGGCGGCGCGCCUAACACAUGCAAGUCGAACGAGCGAGAGAGAGCUUGCUUUCUCGAGCGAGUGGCGAACGGGUGAGUAACGCGUGAGGAACCUGCCUCAAAGAGGGGGACAACAGUUGGAAACGACUGCUAAUACCGCAUAAGCCCACGGGUCGGCAUCGACCAGAGGGAAAAGGAGUAAUCCGCUUUGAGAUGGCCUCGCGUCCGAUUAGCUGGUUGGUGAGGUAACGGCCCACCAAGGCGACGAUCGGUAGCCGGACUGAGAGGUUGAACGGCCACAUUGGGACUGAGACACGGCCCAGACUCCUACGGGAGGCAGCAGUGGGGAAUAUUGCACAAUGGGGGAAACCCUGAUGCAGCGACGCCGCGUGGAGGAAGAAGGUCUUCGGAUUGUAAACUCCUGUUGUUGAGGAAGAUAAUGACGGUACUCAACAAGGAAGUGACGGCUAACUACGUGCCAGCAGCCGCGGUAAAACGUAGGUCACAAGCGUUGUCCGGAAUUACUGGGUGUAAAGGGAGCGCAGGCGGGAAGACAAGUUGGAAGUGAAAUCCAUGGGCUCAACUCAUGAACUGCUUUCAAAACUGUUUUUCUUGAGUAGUGCAGAGGUAGGCGGAAUUCCCGGUGUAGCGGUGGAAUGCGUAGAUAUCGGGAGGAACACCAGUGGCGAAGGCGGCCUACUGGGCACCAACUGACGCUGAGGCUCGAAAGUGUGGGUAGCAAACAGGAUAAAAUACCCUGGUAGUCCACACCGUAAACGAUGAUUACUAGGUGUUGGAGGAGUGACCCCCUCAGCGCCGCAGUUAACACAAUAAGUAAUCCACCUGGGGAGUACGACCGCAAGGUUGAAACUCAAAGGAAUAGACGGGGGCCCGCACAAGCAGCGGAGUAUGUGGUUUAACUCGACGCAACGCGAAGAACCUUACCAAGUCUUGACAUCCCUCGACGAUGCUGGAAACAGUAUUUCUUUUCGGAGCAAGGAGACAGGUGGUGCAUGGUUGUCGUCAGCUCGUGUCGUGAGAUGUUGGGUUAAGUCCCGCAACGAGCGCAACCCUUAUGGUCAGUUACUACGCAAGAGGACUCUGGCCAGACUGCCGUUGACAAAACGGAGGAAGGUGGGGAGGACGUCAAAUCAUCAUGCCCUCUAUGACUUGGGCUACACACGUACUACAAUGGCGUUAAACAAAGAGAAGCAAGACCGCGAGGUGGAGCAAAACUCAGAAACAACGUCCCAGUUCGGACUGCAGGCUGCAACUCGCCUGCACGAAGUCGGAAUUGCUAGUAAUCGUGGAUCAGCAUGCCACGGUGAAUAAGAUCCCGGGCCUUGCACA